UGAUGAAAUAAAACCAAUCACCAUUUAAUUGGCUAAUUAGCCCCCUUGGUUUUUAGAUCUUUGUUAUUAACUUCGAGUCCAAAUAAUCAAACCAAGCAACAAAAACUCUGAAAUCAAUGGAAAGAUUAAAAUAAAUCUAGUUUCAAUCUCAUGAAUUCUAUAAAAGAAUAAAAAAUCUAACCAAAUUUACACAAGUUUUUAACUCAAGCUUUGUGUUUAAGAAAACAAAAAACCCAGAAAAUCUAUUUUGGUCGCCGGAAAAAUUCCUAAUCUCACCAAAAAUAACGCAGCCGCCUAACUGCCUCUUUACCACCGGUCUCUGUCCUCAGACAGUCGCCUUUUUCAUGCUUUCUAUCAAUCUCCGCCGGUCACCAUUUUCUGCCUCUGUAAGAUCUACCUCUCCUCCAUGCCGGUCGCCAACUUGCCGACAACCGCUCACAUCUUACUUCGGUUGUGCGCUUGCUUGCUGCUGCUAUGAAAGGUAGUUUCUAUCUCUUUUUCUCAUUGUAUUUCUCUUUAUUUGUUUUUUCUCUCGCAUAAAUGAGGAAACCUGUGAAUAUGGAUAAUAGGUAUAAAAGUAAUUUAUAAACAGUAAAAGAAUACAUAUGUAUUACUAGUGAUUUAGUAUACAUAUAUUUAUUUUGAUAAUCAUUAACAUAAGUUUAAAGAACUUAUACUACUUGUUUUUAUUUAAUUAUUUUAUGUUAUUACUAAAAGAUACAUACCUUAUUAUAAUUAUGAUACAUUAUAAAAGUAAAGCAAAAAAUUUUGUAUUUAUUUAUGUUGAAGUUUUGAAGUUGGCCCUCUAUUCAUAAUCUCCGUGUNUAUAUAUAUAUAUAUAUAUAUAUAUAUUGAAGUUUGAAAUCGGCCCCCUAGUCAUAAUGUGUGUGUUCCGCCCCUGAUACCAAGGAAGUGAUAGAGGGGACCUAAGUCUUUAAUGGAGAAUCGCUUGGCUAUGGAAUGAGUGAAUUGGUUUAGAAAGUCGAUAUUGCUACCUAUAAUGACAAUGUCAUCGACAUAGACCAGAAAGAAGCACAAAAUGUUGUCAUGAUUAUAGAUAAAUAAAGAGGCAUCAGCUCUUGAUUUCCUAAAACCACAAGUAUGAAGAAAGGAUGUGAGUUCCAUGUACCAUGCUCUAAGUGCUUGUUAAGGCCAUAAAGAGACUUUCUAAGUUUACAUAUGUGGUUUGGGAAUUAGGGAUGAAUGAAUCCAGGUGGUUGAGGCAUGAAGAUUUCCAUGAAGAAAAGCAUUGUUCAUGUCAAGUCUUAAGGGCCAAUUCUGAGAGAGAGCAAUAGAGAGGACGACUCAAAUAGUGACCGGUUUUGUUACUGGACUGAAUUUGUCAAAUUAAUCCUUCUCGUAUAGGUGAAGGAACCCAUUGGUAACCAAAUGAGCCUUGUAUUUUGAAAUAGUACCAUCGAGAUUCCUUUUGACUCGGAAUACCCAAUUUGCAUCCAAUUGGGUUGUAAGUAGCUCUUGGACUAAUUCCCAAUUUCUAUUUUUCAUUAAAGCAUUGAACUCUUGAUCCAUGACAUGUCGCCACUUGGUAUCUUUCAGAGCUUGAGUAUAGGUGUUAGGUUCAAUGGUGGAAGGGAUAGGAUGGAUGGUAGUGGAGUUGAUGAAAGAAGAGUUAAAGUAUUUUAGGUUUUUAUUUCUAGUUCGUUGUGGUGGAGGGGGCGGGUUGAGGAAUGGAAUUAUCAUCCUAAGAAGUGGAGGUAGUUGGGGUAGGACAUGAGUUGGUGGGAGAUGAAAUAUGAUUGGAUAUGGGAGUUUGCGGUGUGGAUAGUGGGGUAUGUGGAGUAAAAGGUUGUGUAGAGUGAGGAUACAUAUCUGAUAGUGGUGAAGUAGGUUGGGAAGUAGGGGUUAGAGGGUGGGGUGGUGAAUCUGGACGUGGUAUUUGUUGUUGCAUAACAUGAGGUUUAGGGGUUUGCAUAAGAUAACAUUUUUUAUGAAUCAGAUGGUGAAAAAGAGCCUGAUACAUGAUUGGUUAGUGGAAUUUUGAAGAAAUCAAGGGCAGUGGGGAAGGUAUGGGAAGAGAAGUGGGAAGGAAAAUGAGAUUGAAUAAGCUAAACAUGAUGAGAGUGGUAUAAGCGGCGAGUGUUAGGGUCAAAACAAUUUUAAGCAAAUUUUGAGGUGGAGUAACCUAGGAACAAACAUGGGGUUGAUUUUGGUUGCAACUUGGAUUUUGAGUAAGGUCUUAGCCAUGGAUAGCAAACAUAACCAAAGGGUUUGAGUUUGGUGUAGUUUGGUGGUUGACGGUAGAGACGUUGGAAUGGACUUUGGUUUUUGAGGAUGGGUGUAGGAAGUCUGUUUAUAAGAUAGACGACGGUUUGGAAGGCGUAAGACCAAAAGGUGAGUGGUAAUUUGGCAUAAUGAAGGAGAUCAAGUCUCGUCUCAACCACAUGUCGAUGUUGUCGCUCGAGGACACCGUUCUGUUCAGGAGUACAUGGUGGGGUGGUGAAGUGAGAGAUGCCAUGAGCUUGUAAAAACGGUGUAAGGCCUUGGUAUUCACCGCCAUUUUUAGUAAAGAUUGACAUAAUUGGUGUUUGGAAGAACUUCUCAACAAGGAGUUUGAAUUGAGGAAAUAGUAUGGCAACAUCAGAUUUCUAUUUCAUAGGAUAGAGCCAAACAUAUUUCAAGUAGUAAUCUACAAAAAGAACGUAAUAAGUGAAAAUUUCAAUGGAAGUUUGAACCGGACCCCAAACAUUAAAGUAUAUUAAUUGAAGUGGUUUUGAAGAAACAAAUGAAUUCGGAUCAAAAGGUAGCUUGCGACUUUUAUUGAUUGAACAAGAAGAACAAUGCAUACAGGAAUCAAAAAAUUGCUUAGAACAAAGACCUAUGUUUAAGACAUGAGACUUGAAAACUUUGAUGGAUAGAUGGCCUAAUUUGUAGUGCCAGACAGGUGGAGAGAUUUUGGUGGUGGCAUUGAGUUACAAUAUGGAUGGGAGGUUAGAAUAGUAAGAAUCAUCAAGGUUCUCCCAUCGCAUAAGACGCACCCCCGUGCGAAUAUCCUUCACAAAAAAUGAGAGGGAAAAAAUCAACAGAAACCCGGUAAGUCUUGCACAAUUUAGCAAUAGAUAUAAGGUUUCGAUAUAAAUUUGGAACACAUAACACAUUUGGUAAAGAUAAGGUUUUUAGUGGUGUGUCAAUGUGUUUAAAGCCAACAGGAGAUAUUUUCAAACCUUUACCAUCACCAAGUAUUAUUUCAUUAGGUCCUUCGUAUUUGGAUAUGUUAUGAAGUGUAGACCAAUCAGAGGUGACAUGAUUUGAGGCAUCACUGUCAAAUAACAAUGUUGGAGGAAUAGAUGUUGAUCCAGAUCUUGUGACAUUUACUGUAGGAGUUGUUGAAUCAAGGUUACCGAUGGUAAUGUUGUUGUCUUUAAGGAACUUGGAUAGUUUCCUGCAGUCUCGAGUCUGAUGUCCCAGAAUGUUACAGAAUUGGAAAAAAUUGUUGUUGCAAUUUUUCCGGCCUCCAUGUGGUUGAGACGUUGUCCAAGAUGAGCGACUUGUUCCUCUGUUGUUACUUCCACCACCUCUCUGUGAACCAAAGGUUUCUGAUGGGUACCUAUAGUGUUGUCGUCCUUGUUGACGGGUGGUGUAAUUAGCAGUAACCAAAGUUGGUUCAUAGUUUGGUGUAGCUUCUUUGAGUGCUCUUUCAAAAUCACUAAAUUUGUCAAAGCGUUCUAGUUAAGAUAGUGGAUUUUUUCGAACCUUUAUGGCAGCCAAAAUGGUGUUAUAGUCAUCACCUAAUUGAGAUAAGAUGUGAACAAGAAGAUCUUCUUCAGCUAUAGGGCUUUGUGCUAUGGCGAGAUCAUCUGCAAUAAAGUGCAUAUCUUGAACAUACUCAGCAACACUGCGAUUACCUUUGGGAUUUCUAACUAGUUUGGAUUUGAGUGAGAUUAUUCGGGAACGUGAAACACUAGUAAACGUGAGUUUAAUCGUUCCCACACAUCUCUAAAAGUAAUAACAGAGGAGAUAAGUGGUUGAAUGGUUUCUGAGCAGCUUCCAAGAAUCGUGCGUUGAUGAUGAGUUGAUCUUGGCGAUAACAUAACAGGAAUUAUGGGUUCUGUUUUUCACCAUCUUUAUCUGUAACAUCCACCUCUGGCACGUAUCACAAUAUUGUCCGUUUUGGGCUCCCGGCACGAAAACUUCCCAGGGGGACACCCUUCCCUGGAUUGCUCUCGCCCGGGCACACUUAACUGCAGAGUUCUUAUGGGAUCUGCUGCCCUCACGGAUUUAAAACGCGUUGUGACACGGAAGGUAUCCACACCCCUUAUAAGGAAAUGUAUCGUUCUCCUUCCAAGCCGAUGCGGGAUUAGGUGCAACCCACCUUCAACCCCCAUUAUAGGGUUCGACGCCCCCGUCGAACACAUCGACUCGUGCCCUAGCUCAGAUACCAUUUGUAACAUCCCAUUUGGCACGUAUCACAAUAUUGUCCGCUUUGGGCUCCCGACACGAAAACUUCCCAAGGGGUCACCCAUCCCUGGAUUGCCGCGCUCACGUCUUUAAAACACGUUGUGACAAGGAAGGUAUCUACACCCCUUAUAAGGAAAUGUUUCGUUCUCCUUUCAAGCCGUGAGGGCAGCAGAUCCCAUAAGAACUCUACAGUUAAGUGUGCUCGGGCAGGAGUAGUACCAAGAUGGGUGACCCCCUGGGAAGUCCUCGUGCCGAGUGGCCCAAAGCAGACAAUAUUGUGAUACGUGCUAGAGGAAGAUGUUACAUUAUCUGAUAUGAGACGUGUGGGUUGAGUGCUUGUGCCCAAGAUGAAGGAUUCAAGUUCGAGACCAAUCAGAGUUGAUUCAAUUUGUUUAUGCCAUACUGGAAAAUUAUUGGAUGUUAAUUUGAUUACAAAAUGGGUAGCAACUGCGAUUUGGACAAUGGAUUUGGGUGCCAUUUUAGGGUUUGAAGAUUAAUGAAGAAGAUGAUUAAAAGAGAUGAAUGAAUUGGUUAUAAGGGUUUGGAUCGACUCUUUAGAGCAAAGGUAAGCUCUAAUACCAUAUGCAAUAUUAAAGUAUUGUUUUGUUUCAUUAUCAAACUAAAGGUGCAGAGGAUUAUAUACAUAAUGUACAAUAUGGAAAGGAGAACAUGAGCUAUCUAAGGAGAAAUUACAAGAGCUAAAGUAGUAAUAAUAUUGUGACAAAUAAUAACCAUAAAUAAAACAAUUUAAAUUGUUUGCCAAUUGUAUUCUUGGUCGUGAUAAGGUAAAAUAUUUAUUUAUGACAAUUUUGGUCUAAAAUACGUUUUGAAUGUUCCAAAAUUCAACUACAUGUUAUUAUUUUUAAGUCAAUUAACAUGUGAUCUGCAAUGUUUGUUUGAAUUUCUUUCAAGAACAUGUUUUAUACAAAAUUUACAUUCGAAGAACUAGAUUGGGAUCCGUAAAGAGAAUGAUGACCUAAAUACUUGGAGCCUUUCAAACAAAAAAUAUGGCAUUUACGGUUUUAAGUGAACAAUUUUUUCGUACAAAAUAUUGGGACAUGCUUCAGAUGAAGUUUUACGAAAUUGGAUAUUAGUACUUGCAAUCAGUUUUGUAGUUCUUAUAUUAUCUUAAAACAAAUUAAAAUUUUCUUUUCCUAUUAAUUUUUUUUUAUAAAAUAAUGGAUUUUUUUAAUUAGUACGCAUGGAUGUUUCAGGUUGAUAUCAACAUGCUUCUUAAAAUGGAGCAUAUUCUUUUAUUUCUAUUGUUGAUGACCGUAGUCGAGGAGUAUGGGUCUACCACGUGAAAUAUUGAUAUAAAGCGGG
rnacentral:lncRNA from 1 species